rnacentral:rRNA from 1 species
UAGGGAAUCUUCCACAAUGGACGCAAGUCUGAUGGAGCAACGCCGCGUGAGUGAAGAAGGUUUUCGGACCGUAAAGCUCUGUUGUUGGUGAAGAAGGAUAGAGGUAGUAACUGGCCUUUAUUUGACGGUAAUCAACCAGAAAGUCACGGCUAACUACGUGCCAGCAGCCGCGGUAAUACGUAGGUGGCAAGCGUUGUCCGGAUUUAUUGGGCGUAAAGCGAGCGCAGGCGGAAGAAUAAGUCUGAUGUGAAAGCCCUCGGCUUAACCGAGGAAUUGCAUCGGAAACUGUUUUCUUGAGUGCAGAAGAGGAGAGUAGAACUCCAUGUGUAGCGGUGGUUUAAUGCGUAGAUAUAUGGAAGAAUACCAGUGGCGAAGGCGGCUCUCUGGUCUGCAACUGACGCUGAGGNUCGAAAGCAUGGGUAGCGACAGGAUUAGAUACCCUGGUAG